ACAGAGGUUGCAAACGUUGUUCGGAAUCACUGGGCAUAAAGCGCACGUAGGCGGUCUGUUAAGUCAGGUGUGAAAGCCCCCGGCUCAACCGGGGAACAGCAUUUGAUACUGGCAGACUCGAGGAUGGUAGGGGUGAGUGGAACUCCAGGUGGAGCGGUGAAAUGCGUAGAUAUCUGGAGGAACACCGGUGGCGAAAGCGGCUCACUGGACCAUAACUGACGCUGAGGUGCGAAAGCUAGGGUAGCAAACGGGA
rnacentral:rRNA from 1 species